rnacentral:rRNA from 1 species
GCGAAAAGAACCCCGGCGAGGGGAGUGAAAAAGAACCUGAAACCGUGUACGUACAAGCAGUGGGAGCACAGAGCAAUCUGUGUGACUGCGUACCUUUUGUAUAAUGGGUCAGCGACUUAUAUUCUGUAGCAAGGUUAACCGAAUAGGGGAGCCGAAGGGAAACCGAGUCUUAACUGGGCGUUAAGUUGCAGGGUAUAGACCCGAAACCCGGUGAUCUAGCCAUGGGCAGGUUGAAGGUUGGGUAACACUAACUGGAGGACCGAACCGACUAAUGUUGAAAAAUUAGCGGAUGACUUGUGGCUGGGGGUGAAAGGCCAAUCAAACCGGGAGAUAGCUGGUUCUCCCCGAAAGCUAUUUAGGUAGCGCCUCGUGAAUUCAUCUCCGGGGGUAGAGCACUGUUUCGGCAAGGGGGUCAUCCCGACUUACCAACCCGAUGCAAACUGCGAAUACCGGAGAAUGUUAUCACGGGAGACACACGGCGGGUGCUAACGUCCGUCGUGAAGAGGGAAACAACCCAGACCGCCAGCUAAGGUCCCAAAGUCAUGGUUAAGUGGGAAACGAUGUGGGAAGGCCCAGACAGCCAGGAUGUUGGCUUAGAAGCAGCCAUCAUUUAAAGAAAGCGUAAUAGCUCACUGGUCGAGUCGGCCUGCGCGGAAGAUGUAACGGGGCUAAACCAUGCACCGAAGCUGCGGCAGCGACGCUGAUGCGUUGUUGGGUAGGGGAGCGUUCUGUAAGCCUGUGAAGGUGUGCUGUGAGGCAUGCUGGAGGUAUCAGAAGUGCGAAUGCUGACAUAAGUAACGAUAAAGCGGGUGAAAAGCCCGCUCGCCGGAAGACCAAGGGUUCCUGUCCAACGUUAAUCGGGGCAGGGUGAGUCGACCCCUAAGGCGAGGCCGAAAGGCGUAGUCGAUGGGAAACAGGUUAAUAUUCCUGUACUUGGUGUUACUGCGAAGGGGGGACGGAGAAGGCUAUGUUGGCCGGGCGACGGUUGUCCCGGUUUAAGCGUGUAGGCUGGUUUUCCAGGCAAAUCCGGAAAACUAAGGCUGAGGCGUGAUGACGAGGCACUACGGUGCUGAAGCAACAAAUGCCCUGCUUCCAGGAAAAGCCUCUAAGCAUCAGGUAACAUCAAAUCGUACCCCAAACCGACACAGGUGGUCAGGUAGAGAAUACCAAGGCGCUUGAGAGAACUCGGGUGAAGGAACUAGGCAAAAUGGUGCCGUAACUUCGGGAGAAGGCACGCUGAUAUGUAGGUGAAGUCCCUCGCGGAUGGAGCUGAAAUCAGUCGAAGAUACCAGCUGGCUGCAACUGUUUAUUAAAAACACAGCACUGUGCAAACACGAAAGUGGACGUAUACGGUGUGACGCCUGCCCGGUGCCGGAAGGUUAAUUGAUGGGGUCAGCGCAAGCGAAGCUCUUGAUCGAAGCCCCGGUAAACGGCGGCCGUAACUAUAACGGUCCUAAGGUAGCGAAAUUCCUUGUCGGGUAAGUUCCGACCUGCACGAAUGGCGUAAUGAUGGCCAGGCUGUCUCCACCCGAGACUCAGUGAAAUUGAACUCGCUGUGAAGAUGCAGUGUACCCGCGGCAAGACGGAAAGACCCCGUGAACCUUUACUAUAGCUUGACACUGAACAUUGAGCCUUGAUGUGUAGGAUAGGUGGGAGGCUUUGAAGUGUGGACGCCAGUCUGCAUGGAGCCGACCUUGAAAUACCACCCUUUAAUGUUUGAUGUUCUAACGUUGACCCGUAAUCCGGGUUGCGGACAGUGUCUGGUGGGUAGUUUGACUGGGGCGGUCUCCUCCUAAAGAGUAACGGAGGAGCACGAAGGUUGGCUAAUCCUGGUCGGACAUCAGGAGGUUAGUGCAAUGGCAUAAGCCAGCUUGACUGCGAGCGUGACGGCGCGAGCAGGUGCGAAAGCAGGUCAUAGUGAUCCGGUGGUUCUGAAUGGAAGGGCCAUCGCUCAACGGAUAAAAGGUACUCCGGGGAUAACAGGCUGAUACCGCCCAAGAGUUCAUAUCGACGGCGGUGUUUGGCACCUCGAUGUCGGCUCAUCACAUCCUGGGGCUGAAGUAGGUCCCAAGGGUAUGGCUGUUCGCCAUUUAAAGUGGUACGCGAGCUGGGUUUAGAACGUCGUGAGACAGUUCGGUCCCUAUCUGCCGUGGGCGCUGGAGAACUGAGGGGGGCUGCUCCUAGUACGAGAGGACCGGAGUGGACGCAUCACUGGUGUUCGGGUUGUCAUGCCAAUGGCACUGCCCGGUAG